rnacentral:lncRNA from 1 species
GUAAAUAAAUAACGCAAGUAUUGUUCAUAUUCAUGCUUGUAUUUAUAAAUGUCGGCCUUAAAUGUGGCGCGAGGCCAACCUUUAUACGUAGGAUUAAAUACUCUUCUAAUAUAAUGAAUCCAAGCAGGAUUAGAUGCAAAAGAAUAAGGCAAACACAUAACAGUAAUCAUUUUAGCUAGUUCUUCACGAUCCCUAUUUGGAUCGUAAUACAAUAUACCUCCGGUGAUUGUGUUUAUUCCUGGUUGAACUAGAUUAGAACCAGUACUUAGGUUAACUGUUAUUUCAGGACUUGUCCUCCCCUCUUGUUGCGCUUUUAAUUGGAUAUAUCUAGCCUUAUCGCUAGGGUGUAAUUUUAUAUGUUUAACUAAACUACCUGUGCCGCUACGAUCUUCAGUAUACCUAUGCACAAGUAAUUUCCCACAAGAUUUACACUUAGCCUUAUUAUGUUCUCUUAGUUGAAUAAAAAAUUGGCAAACUAAUGAUGUUUCUGUACGUUUAGGAGGUUGUCUACUAAAAGUAGGAGUUUGUACGGGUGGGUGUGCCGUUUCAUCACCUAAGUUAUGAGCAGGACUAAUAGGUGUAUCAUCUAAAUCUACUGGAGCUUGGGUUUCAUCAUCAUCAUCAUCCUCAUUUUCCUCUAAGAUAUCUAAAUCUACCAGAGCUUAGGCUUCGUGAUCAUCAUCAUCCUCAUUUCCCUCUAAGAUAGGUGCAUUAGGAUAAAUCAUAUUCAUAAUAUCAUCGUCUAUUCUAUCACCAACUGCUACAUCAUGUAGAAAAUCAACAUCGCUAAAUUGAAAACACGGGUGAUCACAAUCAAGGAUUCCGAAGGUUUCAUUAGUAUUUCUAGGUUGGCUACUACUUUGAACUUGUUUAUCUUUUCUAGGUCGGGGAGCCGGGGGAGGGGUAGUNN